rnacentral:rRNA from 1 species
GCCAGAGGGUGCAAACGUUGCUCGGAAUCACUGGGCGUAAAGGGCGUGUAGGCGGGAAGGUUAGUCAGAUGUGAAAGCCCUGGGCUCAACCCAGGAACUGCAUUUGAAACUCCCUUUCUUGAGUGUCGGAGAGGAAAGCGGAAUUCCUGGUGUAGAGGUGAAAUUCGUAGAUAUCAGGAGGAACACCGGUGGCGAAGGCGGCUUUCUGGACGACAACUGACGCUGAGACGCGAAAGCGUGGGGAGCAAACAGG